rnacentral:tRNA from 1 species
GGAGUUGUGGCUCAGCGGUAGAGUGCUCGCCUAGCAUGUGCGAGGCCCUGGGUUCGAUCCUCAGCACCA